rnacentral:rRNA from 1 species
AGAGUUUGAUCCUGGCUCAGAGCGAACGCUGGCGGCAGGCCUAACACAUGCAAGUCGAGCGCCGUAGCAAUACGGAGCGGCAGACGGGAGAGUAACACGUGGGAACGUGCCCUUCAGUCCGGAACAACCCAGGGAAACUUGGGCUAAUACCGGAUACGUCCGUAAGGAGAAAGAUUUAUCGCUGAAGGAUCGGCCCGCGUCUGAUUAGCUAGUUGGUGGGGUAACGGCCCACCAAGGCGACGAUCAGUAGCUGGUCUGAGAGGAUGAUCAGCCUCACUGGGACUGAGACACGGCCCAGACUCCUACGGGAGGCAGCAGUGGGGAAUAUUGGACAAUGGGCGCAAGCCUGAUCCAGCCAUGCCGCGUGGGUGAUGAAGGCCCUAGGGUUGUAAAGCCCUUUCGGCGGGGAAGAUAAUGACGGUACCCGCAGAAGAAGCCCCGGCUAACUUCGUGCCAGCAGCCGCGGUAAUAC